rnacentral:snRNA from 1 species
AUCACUUCUUGGCCUUUUGGCUAAGAUCAAGUGUAGUGUCUGUUCUUAUCAGUUUAAUAUCUGAUAUGUCCUCUAUCCAAGGACGUAUAUAUUAAAUAUAUACGCAUAUAUUAAAUGGAUUUUUGGAACAGGGAGAUGGAAUAGGAGACUGAUA